rnacentral:rRNA from 1 species
UAACACCAGCACCCCAAGUGGGAAUCAGUAUUAUUGGGCCUAAAGCGUCCGUAGCCGGUCAAGCAAAUCUUCCGUGAAAUUGUCAAGCUUAACUUGACAACGUGCGGGAGACACUACUUGACUAGGGACCGGGAGGAGUCAGAGGUAUGCUAGGGGAAGCGGUAAAAUGUUGUGAUCCCUGGUAGACCACCUAUGGCGAAGGCAUCUGACCAGAACGGAUCCGACGGUGAGGGACGAAAGCCAGGGGAGCAAACCGGAUUAGAUACCCGAGUAGUCCUGGCCGUAAACGCUGCGAGUUAGGUGUUGCACAUCUUACGUGGAUGUGCAGUAUCGUAGGGAAGCCGUUAAACUCGCCGCCUGGGAAGUAUGGUCGCAAGGCUG